rnacentral:lncRNA from 1 species
GCUUAAAUUCACCAAUCAAAAUACAUAAAUUGGCAGAUUAGAUUGAAAAAAAAAAGACCCAACAAUAUUCUGCCUUCAAGAGAUUUAUCUCAUAGGAAAAGACAUCCACAGACUGAAGGUGAAAGGUUGGGAAAAACCAUACCACUCACAGGGACUGUGAAAUCAAAUGGGGAUUUCUAUCAUAUUGAAUAAAGUAGACUUCAAGCCAAAGUUAAUCAAAAGGGAUAAAGAAAGACAUUUCAUACUGCUUAGAGGAACCAUCUAUCAACAAGACAUAACAAUUAUAAAUAUAUAUGCCCCCAACAAUGGGGCAUCUACAUUUAUCAAACAAACUCUUCUCAAGUUCAAGAGUCAAAUAGACCUCAACCCAAUAAUUCUGGGUGACUUUAACACACCUCUUUCACCACUGGAUAGAUCUUCCAAACAAAAGCUAAACAAAAAUACUAUAGAAGUCAAUAAUCUAACCAAUAACUUAGACUUAACAGACAUGUUUAGAAUAUUUCAUCCUUCAACAAAUGAAUACACUUUCUUCUCAUGAGCACAUGUAUAGUGCUCUACAAUACACCACAUAUUAUGCCACAAAGCAACUCUUUGCAAAUAAAAAAAAGUAGAGAUACUACCUUGCAUUCUAUCAGAUCAUAAUGGAAUGAAAUGAGAAAUGAAUGAUAAAAUAAAA